AGUGAACGCUGGCGGUAGGCCUAACACAUGCAAGUCGAACGGCAGCACAGUAAGAGCUUGCUCUUACGGGUGGCGAGUGGCGGACGGGUGAGGAAUACAUCGGAAUCUACUUUUUCGUGGGGGAUAACGUAGGGAAACUUACGCUAAUACCGCAUACGACCUACGGGUGAAAGCAGGGGAUCUUCGGACCUUGCGCGAUUGAAUGAGCCGAUGUCGGAUUAGCUAGUUGGCGGGGUAAAGGCCCACCAAGGCGACGAUCCGUAGCUGGUCUGAGAGGAUGAUCAGCCACACUGGAACUGAGACACGGUCCAGACUCCUACGGGAGGCAGCAGUGGGAAAUAUUGGACAAUGGGCGGAAGCCUGAUCCAGCCAUACCGCGUGGGUGAAGAAGGCCUUCGGGUUGGAAAGCCCUUUUGUUGGGAAAGAAAAGCAGCAGGUUAAUAACCCGCUGUUCUGACGGUACCCAAAGAAUAAGCACCGGCUAACUUCGUG
rnacentral:rRNA from 1 species